GACGAACGCUGGCGGCGUGCCUAAUACAUGCAAGUUGAGCGCUGAAGGUUGGUACUUGUACCAACUGGAUGAGCAGCGAACGGGUGAGUAACGCGUGGGGAAUCUGCCUUUGAGCGGGGGACAACAUUUGGAAACGAAUGCUAAUACCGCAUAAAAACUUUAAACACAAGUUUUAAGUUUGAAAGAUGCAAUUGCAUCACUCAAAGAUGAUCCCGCGUUGUAUUAGCUAGUUGGUGAGGUAAAGGCUCACCAAGGCGAGGAUACAUAGCCGACCUGAGAGGGUGAUGGCCCACAUUGGGAUUGGGAAACGCCCAAACCCCCUAGGGAGGCAGCAGUAGGGAAUCUUCGGCAAUGGACGAAAGUCUGACCGAGCAACGCCGCGUGAGUGAAGAAGGUUUUCGGAUCGUAAAACUCUGUUGGUAGAGAAGAACGUUGGUGAGAGUGGAAAGCUCAUCAAGUGACGGUAACUACCCAGAAAGGGACGGCUAACUACGUG
rnacentral:rRNA from 1 species